rnacentral:misc_RNA from 1 species
GAACGCACAUUGCGCCCCUUGGUAUUCCGAGGGGCAUGCCUAUUCGAGCGUCAUUAUCACCCCUCAAGCUCCGGCUUGGUGUUGAGGCCUGCUGUAAAGGCAUCCUCUAAAAUCAGUGGCAGUGCCGUCUGGCUCUAAGCGUAGUAACUUUCUCGCUAUGGACCCGGGCGGACCCUCGCCAGAAACCCCCCAUUUUUUAAUGAUUGACCUCGGAUUAGGUAGGGAUACCCGCUGAACUUAAG